ACUUUGGAGGUAUCAGAAGUGAGAAUGCAGGAAUAAGUAGCGAGAAAGGGGGCGAGAAUCCCCCUCGCCGGAAGACCAAGGUUUUCAGGGUAAAGCUUGUCUUCCCUGAGUAAGCCGGGACCUAAGCCCAGGCUAUAAUGCGUAGGCGAAUGGAAAACAGAUUAAUAUUUCUGUGCCAGUCAUUUAUUGUGAUGGAGGGACGCAGAAGGGUAUGUGCGCGGACGAUCGGUUGUGUCCGUAGAAGUAUGUAGGGUGACUUAGUAGGUAAAUCCAUUAAGUUAUAUCUGAGGUAUGAUAUACAGUCGUAAGAUGAAUGUGCAAAUCCCACGCUGCCAAGAAAAGCUUCUAACGUUAAUAUAUGACUGCCCGUACUGUAAACCGACACAGGUGGUCAGGAUGAGAAAUCUAAGGCGGACAGGCUAACUCUCGUUAAGGAACUCUGCAAAAUAACCUCGUAACUUCGGGAGAAGAGGAGCCCUUGUGUGUUAGUAUACAUGCGAUACAAAGCGCACGAGGGUCGCAGUGAAGAGGCUCAAGCAACUGUUUAACAAAAACACAGGUCUAUGCUAAGCUGUAAGGCGAUGUAUAUGGGCUGACACCUGCCCAGUGCUGGAAGGUUAAGAGGAGGAGUGAGAGCUCCGAAUUGAAGCCCCAGUGAACGGCGGCCGUAACUAUAACGGUCCUAAGGUAGCGAAAUUCCUUGUCGGGUAAGUUCCGACCUGCACGAAUGGUGUAAUGAUUUGAGCGCUGUCUUGACGGGAGGCCUGGUGAAAUUGUAUUACCGGUGAAGAUACCGGUUACCUACAGUAGGACGGAAAGACCCCAUGGAGCUUUACUGUAGCUUGGUAUUGGGUUUUGGCAUUGCAUGUAUAGGAUAGUUGGGAGACUAUGAUGAUAUGGCGCUAGCUGUAUCGGAGUCAUCGGUGGAAUACCAACCAUUCAAUGCUGAAAUUCUAAUCUGUGGUUUGUAGCCACGGAGACAGUGCUAGGUGGGCAGUUUGACUGGGGCGGUCGCCUCCGAAAGAGUAACGGAGGCGUUCAAAGGUUCUCUCAGGUUGGAUGGAAAUCAACCAUAGAGUGCAAUGGCAUAAGAGAGCUUGACUGCAAGACUGACGGGUCGAGCAGAUGCGAAAGCAGGACAUAGUGAUCCGGCGAUUCCGAAUGGAAGGGUCGUCGCUCAACGGAUAAAAGCUACCCUGGGGAUAACAGGCUGAUCCUACCCGAGAGUCCAUAUCGACGGUAGGGUUUGGCACCUCGAUGUCGGCUCAUCGCAUCCUGGGGCUGGAGAAGGUCCCAAGGGUUGGGCUGUUCGCCCAUUAAAGCGGUACGUGAGCUGGGUUCAGAACGUCGUGAGACAGUUCGGUCCCUAUCCACUGUAGGCGUUAGAAUAUUGAGAAGACCUGUCCUUAGUACGAGAGGACCGGGAUGGACAAACCUCUGAUGUACCAGUUGUCACGCCAGUGGCACAGCUGGGUAGUCACGUUUGGAAUAGAUAACCGCUGAAAGCAUCUAAGCGGGAAACUAACUUCAAGAUAAGUAUUCU
rnacentral:rRNA from 1 species